UCGCUCCUACCGAUUGAGUGAUCCGGUGAAUAAUUCGGACUGCAGCAGUGUUCAGUUCCUGAGCGCUGCAGCGGAAAGUCUAGUGAACCUUAUCACUUAGAGGAAGGAG
rnacentral:rRNA from 1 species